rnacentral:lncRNA from 1 species
AUCCUAUGGUAAAGAAUAGUAAUUGGAAGUACCUAUUUUAUACCUAUACGGGGAGUAAGCACAACCCUCUAAGUAUAUGGGUGCAGGCAGGAGCUACAAAAGACACAAUAGUUGUGCUAAAAUUAUCAGAGGAAGGGGAGAUAGAAUAAUAUGUAUCCCCAAACAGCAAAAGAUCCUAUCUGUGUCUAUAAUAAAGCUUAUAACCAGUGGAGCUGGGCUAGUGGAGGAAUUGUAAAAUAUUAGAGAAAAUUCCCAGCGAAAAAAAUCCUCAAAACUAGUCCCUAAUCUCCUGGAAACACCUUCGAGGGUGUUCUAAGCUAAGUCUAAAUCUUAGAGUAGCCUGCCUGAUCUGCCAUAACCAAUACUGGUUAGGAGUAGCACUGAAAAAUAAUAAUAAGUGGGUCUAAAAGCCCAUAGUGCAACAAAGUGUCCCUUAGUACAUAAGUGAAGUGAAAAAGAUAGACGAGCUA